AUGGUCAAGAAAUUACAAAUGCCUCUGACAUCAUGUAGCAGCUAUUUACAUCCUAUAAAAAUACAGUUUGAGAAACACCCUUCACUUCACUUUGGACCAGUUUAUUUUAAAUCUGAAGUUUUGACUCCUCAUUUUUUAGGUAGAUCUAUUACAUUCAGAGACACUGUAAACCUACUCAUUCGACCUAUGAAAAUUCCAAGAGGUCAUGAUUCUCACUUUGAAAAGGAAGAUGGAGGCUGAUCCCUAUGGAUUACAUCAAUAAGAUCACCAUUUACACUGGUAUGGAGUUAAAUGCAGUCUUUGGGGAGUCCUGGCAGGAAGUGAGAAAGAGAAACAAAGAGACAGAGACAGAAAUACAGAGACAGACUAAGAGUGAGAGAGUGAGAGAGAAAACAGAAGAGGAAUAUCAAGGUAUGUAUUCCCAUAGCUCUCCCUUUGUGAAGUUGCCUUGAGCUUUCAAUGCCCUCACAUAAAGGUCACAUCAUCAGUGUGGCUCCUGUCAAGGUGGUGUGCUCUAUCUUGACUUUUGUUUGUUCCUUCUCGAUUGUAGUUUCCUCCCUCCUUUUGACACUUCAGGCAUAGGGGGUACUGAUAGCAAACUGCUGUUCUAUUUGGAUCCCUACAUUAUUCUUGUAUUUCUCCCCAAAUUUGUAAUUUGUAUUUUGGGAAUAAACUCUUUUUGAAUUAUCUGAAUGUAUGUGAG
rnacentral:lncRNA from 1 species